CCUACGGGCGGCAGCAGUGGGGAAUAUUGCGCAAUGGGCGAAAGCCUGACGCAGCGACGCCGCGUGAGGGAUGAAGGUCUUCGGAUCGUAAACCUCUGUCAGCAGGGAAGAACGGUCACUGUGCUAAUCAGCAGUGAAUUGACGGUACCUGCAAAGGAAGCACCGGCUAACUCCGUGCCAGCAGCCGCGGUAAUACGGAGGGUGCGAGCGUUAAUCGGAAUUACUGGGCGUAAAGCGCUCGUAGGCGGUAUGUCAAGUCAAGGGUGAAAUCCCCGCGCUCAACGUGGGAACUGCCAUUGAUACUGCCUUGCUGGAAUGCGGAUGCCGUGGGAGGAAUGUGUGGUGUAGCGGUGAAAUGCAUAGAUAUCACACAGAACACCGAUUGCGAAGGCAGCUUACCAAGCUACUUCUGACGUUGAGGCACGAAAGCGUGGGGAGCAAACAGGAUUAGAUACCCCUGUAGUC
rnacentral:rRNA from 1 species